UACGUAGGUGGCGAGCGUUGUCCGGAUUUACUGGGCGUAAAGCGCGCGCAGGCGGACUGAUCAGUCUGGGGUGAAAUCUCACGGCUCAACUGUGAGCGGUCCCUGGAUACUGUCAGCCUUGAGAUGUCUAGAGGAGAGCGGAAUUCCCGGUGUAGUGGUGGAAUGCGUAGAUAUCGGGAAGAACACCAGUGGCGAAAGCGGCUCUCUGGGGACCAUCUGACGCUGAGGCGCGAAAGCGUGGGGAGCAAACAGG
rnacentral:rRNA from 1 species